rnacentral:rRNA from 1 species
GACGAACGCUGGCGGCGUGCUUAACACAUGCAAGUCGAACGAUGAAGAAGAGAAACGCGAACUUCGGUUCAAAUUUCACUUCGGAUUAGUGGCAGACGGGUGAGUAACGCGUGAGCAACCUACCUCUUACAAAGGGAUAGCCUCGGGAAACCGUGAUUAAUACCAUAUGACACAUUCAUAAGGCAUCUUAAGAAUGUUAAAGCUACGGCGGUAAGAGAUGGGCUCGCGUCCCAUUAGCUAGUUGGUGAGGUAACGGCCCACCAAGGCGACGAUGGGUAACCGGCCUGAGAGGGUGAACGGUCACAUUGGAACUGAGACACGGUCCAAACUCCUACGGGAAGCAGCAGUGGGGAAUAUUGCACAAUGGAGGGAACCCUGAUGCAGCGACGCCGCGUGAGCGAUGAAGGAAUUCGUUUCGUAAAGCUCUGUUCUAUGGGAAGAAAAGGACUGUACCAUAGGAGAAAGCCCCGGCUAAAUACGUG